rnacentral:piRNA from 1 species
GGAGUUUUCUUAUUCCUGGAGCAAGCCU